AACCAUAUGAUUUCACUCAUAUGUGGGAUAUAAAACAGAAAGCAACAAAUGAACAAACAAGACAAAUAAAACAAAACUUCACAGACACAGACAGCAGCAUGGUGGUUACAGAGGUAAGGGGGAAGGUAAAGGAGGGGACCGGAAAUGGAAUACAUGGUGACAAAAGGUGACUUGACUUCGGGCGGUGAACCCGCAAGCGAUAUAGAGAUGGUAUAUCACAGAAUUCAGUGGUACACUUAAAACUUAUUUUAACUCGUAUUAACCAGUUAUUCCAAUAAACUUAAUAAAAAAAUGUUUAAAGAAUCUACAUCAAAUGCCUAGAACACUUCAAGCAUUCAAUAAAUGGUAGUUACUAAUACUUCUUCUCAUUGUGCCAAUUUAAAUAAUUCACAUUUCAUACAUAACUCCUCAAAUCAUGUGAUACCUCCAAGCCUAGUUAAAGAAAGGAACCUAUCACCCGCCAUCCCUGGUUACUCGAGUAGCCUUCGAACACUUGAGGUAACAAUCCUGUGCAGUUACCCAAUGUAAAAAGAGAAAUUAUACAGCACGUAUGAUUUGAAGAAUUCUUCGAUUUUUAGAGCUUGGCGAAGCACAGCCAGUUUUGCUGAAUGUCUGUCGUAUGGGAGAACCCCAUCGGUCCAUGCCCCUUGUAGGCCCUCAGCGCCCACUGAAUUGGGAGCACCUGGGAAAACUGCGGGAGCAAAUGAGUUCCAUCAGUGUCAGAGCUGCAAAACCUUACGGACCAGCUGAUGCACAUGGACAGAGGACAAAAUGCAGAAGUGAAGGCCCUUUGCAAAAUCUAAACUCCCUCCACAGAAUGGAAUAUUAUUCAGCAAAAAAAUAUAAAGGAAGCACUUAAACCUGCCACACAAUAUGGAUGAACCUUGAAAAAGAACCAGUCACAAAAGGGCAAAUAGUGUAUGAUUCCAUUUACAUGAAAUAUCCAGAAUAGGUAAAUGUAUAUAGAAAGUAAAUUAGUGAUUGACUAGAACCCAAAGGUAUUGGGGUCAGGGAGUGACAGCUAAUGCGUACAGGGUUUCUUUUAAGGGGGAGGAAAAUGUUCUAAAAUUAAAUUGUAAUGAAGAUUGCACAACCCUGAGAAUAUGACAAAAUCUUGAACUGCACUGCACACUUUAAAGGGAUAAAGUGUAUGGCAUGUAUGUGAAUUAUACCUCAAUAAAGCUAUUUUAAAAAUCUAACUCAUUAACUGAUGAGGGGAGCCUUCAUCUUUCCUGCCUGUAGAACUGUCCUCUCUGUUAAAAACUAAAAAGAAGAGCUCGGAGCGCUGUCUUGGGUUUAAAGCUAUAAAAUAUCUUGACUUCGAAAGUACGCUUACCUUGCCUAUGCACCUAUCACCUCCACUUUAUUUCAAUAAUCAAUCAUUUUAGAUGAACUCCAGUGAUUGCAAAACUACUUAUGCAAGGAUACAUAAAUGCAGAAUUUAUCUAUGCUCAAACUAAAUCCUGCCGGUCACAUUCUUUAUUGCUCCACAGCAUGACUGGUCUCUCUCUAGUACGAAUGGGAAUGGGCCACCUUCAUUAGCCCUCUGCUUUUGAGUACCUGCUACAGUGACUUUCAAACAACUGAAGCUCCACUUUCACAGGAUCUCUUUGUUCUCCUAAGAAAUACAGGAAGAAUGGCAUCACAAUGACAGGCAAGAGUCUUCCUUACUGAAUUGGCUAACCCCAUCUGCUAGGGACCUAACGAAAUCAGCGUUAUUCAUUUGAGUGGGAGUGUUAUUGCAGCAAAGUAAAGAAGACAUGAUCUCCCUCUUGAUUAGGAGAUGAAGAAGAUAAAUUAAGAGUAUGGGCCACAUAAUGGAUGAUGAUCUUAGAAACCUAACUAGACUAAAGAAUCUGUAGUCUGGAAUGUUUUACUGAUUGCAAAUCAGACCUGUAUUUCAGGGUUUCCACAAGCUUUUGUUUUUAAGUUUAGAAGAGCUUAUAUCUUAUUAACGUGCCAGUUACUGUGGGAAAAGCCAAAAAAAAAAAAAUGUGGACCUACAGCCCCUGCCUCAUUCCAAAAAUCUGAGGAAAAAUUAGACAUAUUCA